rnacentral:rRNA from 1 species
UACGUAGGUGGCAAGCGUUGUCCGGAAUUACUGGGCGUAAAGGAUGCGUAGGCGGACAUUUAAGUCAGAUGUGAAAUACCCGGGCUCAACUUGGGUGCUGCAUUUGAAACUGGAUGUCUGGAGUGCAGGAGAGGAAAGUGGAAUUCCUAGUGUAGCGGUGAAAUGCGUAGAGAUUAGGAAGAACACCAGUGGCGAAGGCGACUUUCUGGACUGUAACUGACGCUGAGUCACGAAAGCGUGGGUAGCAAAC